rnacentral:rRNA from 1 species
UACGGGGGGGGCAAGCGUUGUUCGGAAUUACUGGGCGUAAAGAGCUCGUAGGUGGUUUGUCGCGUUGUCCGUGAAAACUCACAACUCAAUUGUGGGCGUGCGGGCGAUACGGGCAGGCUGGAGUACUGCAGGGGAGACUGGAAUUCCUGGUGUAGCGGUGGAAUGCGCAGAUAUCAGGAGGAACACCGGUGGCGAAGGCGGGUCUCUGGGCAGUAACUGACGCUGAGGAGCGAAAGCGUGGGGAGCGAACAGG